rnacentral:rRNA from 1 species
AAAUUGAAGAGUUUGAUCAUGGCUCAGAUUGAACGCUGGCGGCAGGCCUAACACAUGCAAGUCGAACGGUAACAGGAAUCAGCUUGCUGAUUCGCUGACGAGUGGCGGACGGGUGAGUAAUGUCUGGGAAACUGCCUGAUGGAGGGGGAUAACUACUGGAAACGGUAGCUAAUACCGCAUAACGUCGCAAGACCAAAGAGGGGGACCUUCGGGCCUCUUGCCAUCGGAUGUGCCCAGAUGGGAUUAGCUAGUAGGUGGGGUAACGGCUCACCUAGGCGACGAUCCCUAGCUGGUCUGAGAGGAUGACCAGCCACACUGGAACUGAGACACGGUCCAGACUCCUACGGGAGGCAGCAGUGGGGAAUAUUGCACAAUGGGCGCAAGCCUGAUGCAGCCAUGCCGCGUGUAUGAAGAAGGCCUUCGGGUUGUAAAGUACUUUCAGCGGGGAGGAAGGGAGUAAAGUUAAUACCUUUGCUCAUUGACGUUACCCGCAGAAGAAGCACCGGCUAACUCCGUGCCAGCAGCCGCGGUAAUACGGAGGGUGCAAGCGUUAAUCGGAAUUACUGGGCGUAAAGCGCACGCAGGCGGUUUGUUAAGUCAGAUGUGAAAUCCCCGGGCUCAACCUGGGAACUGCAUCUGAUACUGGCAAGCUUGAGUCUCGUAGAGGGGGGUAGAAUUCCAGGUGUAGCGGUGAAAUGCGUAGAGAUCUGGAGGAAUACCGGUGGCGAAGGCGGCCCCCUGGACGAAGACUGACGCUCAGGUGCGAAAGCGUGGGGAGCAAACAGGAUUAGAUACCCUGGUAGUCCACGCCGUAAACGAUGUCGACUUGGAGGUUGUGCCCUUGAGGCGUGGCUUCCGGAGCUAACGCGUUAAGUCGACCGCCUGGGGAGUACGGCCGCAAGGUUAAAACUCAAAUGAAUUGACGGGGGCCCGCACAAGCGGUGGAGCAUGUGGUUUAAUUCGAUGCAACGCGAAGAACCUUACCUGGUCUUGACAUCCACAGAACUUUCCAGAGAUGGAUUGGUGCCUUCGGGAACUGUGAGACAGGUGCUGCAUGGCUGUCGUCAGCUCGUGUUGUGAAAUGUUGGGUUAAGUCCCGCAACGAGCGCAACCCUUAUCCUUUGUUGCCAGCGGUCCGGCCGGGAACUCAAAGGAGACUGCCAGUGAUAAACUGGAGGAAGGUGGGGAUGACGUCAAGUCAUCAUGGCCCUUACGACCAGGGCUACACACGUGCUACAAUGGCGCAUACAAAGAGAAGCGACCUCGCGAGAGCAAGCGGACCUCAUAAAGUGCGUCGUAGUCCGGAUUGGAGUCUGCAACUCGACUCCAUGAAGUCGGAAUCGCUAGUAAUCGUGGAUCAGAAUGCCACGGUGAAUACGUUCCCGGGCCUUGUACACACCGCCCGUCACACCAUGGGAGUGGGUUGCAAAAGAAGUAGGUAGCUUAACCUUCGGGAGGGCGCUUACCACUUUGUGAUUCAUGACUGGGGUGAAGUCGUAACAAGGUAACCGUAGGGGAACCUGCGGUUGGAUCACCUCCUUACCUUAAAGA